AAGGUUUCUAGUAGGCCAAAAAAGAAAACAGGAUUAGGGGGUGGUGGAUAGUAGAACGGUAGUCUGUGUGUGUGUGUUGGGAGAGGUGGCAGAGAAGCACAAAGAAAGGAAACUAAAGCCUGUCGCUCUGGGAAGAAGGGAUUCGAGGUGACUAGGCUCUGCUUAGAAGGUGCCUGGUGAAGUGCCCUGAGAAGAAGCACUGGGUCGAGAAUUUAUCAAUACACUUAUACAAAUUUAGAAAAUAAGCAUGAACUCUGCUUCUUUUAUCAGGAGCCCAAUCCUGAGACAGUUAACCCACCUGAGUGAUAAAGACAUCAAUCCAUUCAGGAGGGCAGAGUUGAUAAUGGAAACAGGAGAAUCCUUCUGUUUCUACCUGUACAAACGGCUUUACACUCCAUGUGUGAGUUUUCUCAUUUAGAGAUGUGGAUAGUAGUCCCCAGGGCAACUACUACCCAUUCACUGACUUACCAGUGAUCUAGGUCACCUCAAACUUGUGACAUGCAUUAAAGCCACUUUACUGCAGUGCUUUAAGGAAAGCAAGAGAGAGCUUGGGAGAAGGGGGAUCAUUAUUCGCCCCC
rnacentral:lncRNA from 10 species